CUACAUACCGGAUAGUAUUUCCUUUCUCCUGAUUGGAAAUGGAAUGACGGUAUCUGCUGUCACUUACAGAUGGGCCCGCGGUGCAUUAGCUAGUUGGCGGGGUAAUGGUCCUCCCUGGAAACCAUGCAUAGCCGACCUGAGAGGGUGAUCGGCCACACUGGGACUGAGACACGGCCCAGACUCCUACGGGAGGCAGCAGUAGUGAGAAUCUUCCGCAAUGGACGAAAGUCUGACGGAGCAACGCCGCGUGAGCGAUGAAGGCCUUCGGGUCGUAAAGCUCUGUUGUUAGGGAAGAACAAGUACGAGAGUAACUGCUCGUACCUUGACGGUACCUAACCAGAAAGCCCCGGCUAACUACGUGCCAGCAGCCGCGGUAAUACGUAGGGGGCAAGCGUUGUCCGGAAUUAUUGGGCGUAAAGGGCUCGUAGGCGGUUUCUUAAGUCUGAUGUGAAAGCCCACAGCUCAACUGUGGAGGGUCAUUGGAAACUGGGGAACUUGAGUGCAGAAGAGGAGAGUGGAAUUCCACGUGUAGCGGUGAAAAUGCGUAGAUAUGUGGAGGAACACCAGUGGCGAA
rnacentral:rRNA from 1 species